rnacentral:rRNA from 1 species
AACGCGAAGAACCUUACCUGGGUUUGGCAUGCACUAGACAGCCUCAGAGAUGGGGUUUCCCUUGUGGUUGGUGUACAGGUGGUGCAUGGCUGUCGUCAGCUCGUGUCGUGAGAUGUUGGGUUAAGUCCCGCAACGAGCGCAACCCUUGCCCCAUGUUGCCAGCGGGUUAUGCUGGGGACUCGUGGGGGACUGCCGGGGUCAACUCGGAGGAAGGUGGGGAUGACGUCAAGUCAUCAUGCCCCUUAUGCCCAGGGCUUCACACAUGCUACAAUGGCCGGUACAGAGGGUGGCGAUAUCGUGAGGUGGAGCGAAUCCCUUAAAGCCGGUCUCAGUUCGGAUCGGGGUCUGCAACUCGACCCCGUGAAGUCGGAGUCGCUAGUAAUCGCAGAUCAGCAUUGCUGCGGUGAAUACGUUCCCGGGCCUUGUACACACCG